rnacentral:lncRNA from 1 species
GCGGUCAUCUGGAUGAUGAGGUCAGAAGUGAGAGCUAGACGGGAGAGCAAGUGUGGGAGGGGUUAAUAGACACACCGAGCAGAAAACAGUCUGCGGCAUGUUUGACUGUGGGACUCAGUGAGGGGGAGAAAUCUAAUUUGGCUCUGAGCUUUCUGGCUGUACUGAUUACAGCGAGAUACAGCCAGGAGCGGAUUCGGGAGGAAGCUGAUUAAUCUGGCAUCGGACACGCUGGGUGUGAAGGCUCAUGUUUCAUCCACGUGGAAGGCCUGGCAGACUCAAAUGAGAAGGAUGUACAAGUUCGGCCAACAGCCAUGCCUGUCUGGCUGUGUCUGCUAUGAGGGUGCAUGUGUACUGGAGGGAGCUGUGUUGGCACACAAAGAGGCUGUGGCACCAUUGCACCCUCAGGAGCCAAAGGGAAUGGAAGAGGGAAUGAGGCACUACCCGGGUUUAUUCCAGAUAAGCCACUUCUAUUGGAAGUGGGCCAAGGGGAAAGAAGAUGUCCAAGAUCCAAUCUCAUGCUCGCUUGAGAGGAUUCAGUGUGGUUGGUUGGGAUCAAGGGGACAUGCAGGCUGCAGCCAGGAUCACAGGCCCAGGAUGCCUGCAUCCAGCUGCCCAAAUCGGACAUGCUAAGGACACGCCAUCCUCUCCUGAAUCUUCAUUUAUGUACAAAGCCCUAGAGGCCCCUCACCAAGGUUUUCCUUUAGACAGUCCAGGCUCCUGACUGGUUCAAAGGCUUUCGCUGACAUUUCAGUUUGGAUUUUCCCAAACUGAAAGGUUCUGGGUGUUCUAGAGAUUUUUAAACCCUAAAUACUUUGAAAGGCGAUGGUUUGCUGGAAGCGGGACAAGCCAGUGUUAAAACGUGCGGUGAAAGAAGAGGGAGCAGAACAGAUCAAAAAUCAGGUUGGUGAGCACUUCACAUCACCUCCUUAAUGCCUUCACUAUCAACCUUCUCACCCCCACCCUCAUCAAUAGCAUUUAUGGAAUGCCUCCUUGAUGCCACGUGUCAGGGGAUUUGCAUGUGUCACCUCUAGGUCACAUAGUGGUGGUCUGACGGCGGGAUAAACUUCCCAGGGCAGACAGUGACAGCUCACAGCUGUCCCCUUCCAAGCACGGUAUCCUUUGGGAUCCUAGCAGGCCCCCCUGGGAACUGAAGGGUACAGACUCUACCCAUUGUGUGACCCUGCUGGUAUUGGGCACCAGCAGUAGUUGAAGCCAGCCUUCCUUUCCUCUCACACACAGGCACAAACUCAUGCACACACUCGUGCACCCAUGCAUGCACGCAUAUACACACAUAAACACAUGCUUCAGCUCCGAUGCUGGGGCAGGCUUGUGUAGAGGUUGCACCUGAUGUCCAUAUGCAUGGAGUUCACAUGCAUCUCUGCCCAAGAGUGGACUCCAAACAAAAGUUUGAAAACUUCACUGAAGCAGAGGAAAUCCAGGAUCCCAGGGCUCAUCUCCCUAAUGCCCCUUCCCCACUAACUGUCUGUUGGGUGGUGGUCUUAUGAGUGAGUCAGAGCUGGUCUUCACUUCACCAGCAGAGGUUAGUGUGGUGUGUGGAUGACUCCUCCUCACCCUCGAGAGCAAACAAGAACCAGACAACCACAAAGUACCCUGCUGGUCCUGAGACUGACCCUUUAACCUAAAG